rnacentral:lncRNA from 1 species
GACAGAGCAGGAGAGAGAGGUUGCACUGAUUAGAUUGGAGAAACCAAGGAGGUGCGGGCGUACUAUUGAGCCAGGGGAGAGGAGGAGGAGGGGGGUGACUAAGUGGAUGCAGUUUGCCUGUCGCCGUAUCACAGCAGAGUCCACAAGCAGACACGCUGGACCUGAAUCAACAAAUGAGAACGGGAGAGCUGGAUUUACACGUCUUUGUGGGGAGAGAGGAUCAGGAGUCUGCCUCCAUCACUUUUAAUCUCUGCAUCAGAGGGACAAAACGACAAGGAGCCAAAAGGAAUAAUCACUGAUAACUCAUUCCUCUCGUCACCUUUGGACACCACAAGGAGAUAAAACCGGAAUAAAGCCAAUCCACUGGGACAGGGAUUCACCAGGAUUCUGUGUGUAAGCUCAGUAAGUAUUGCAUAGGCUGUGUGUGUGUGUGUGUGUGUGUGUGUGGUGCACUGAUGCCUAUCUGCUGCCUCUGGAGCUAUUUUCGUGAAGAAAGAAAAAAGAAACAGCGAGAAAGGAUGACAGGAUUAGAGGAUGUGCAAACAGAAGCAGUUGUUGUACUUUUGUGUUGUUAUGCUGUGUGCAUCACUGAACUGCCUCCUCUCCUCUCCCCCGAUGCAACACAACUACCCCAGACUUGACUCUGUGCGUUUGUGCCUCUUUUUUUUUUCCUUCAGUGCCGGUGUGUGUGUGAGUGUGUGUGUGUGUGUGUGUGUGUGUGUGAGGGAGCUGAUAAUAGCAGCUCCAUUGGUAUUCAGCGGAGGGAGCUCCAGGAUCUCGCUGCGCCUUUCCCCAGGAUGGGCUCACAGAGCGGGGAUUGUGCUUGCUGGUGGAGAGCCCACUGAAAUGGAUCUGAAACUGUGCAGAAGUGGACAGCAAAUGGGCAGCAUGAAAGCUCACAUCCGCCCUCCAGCGACACCCUUUCCACACCUAACUGCCCUAACUGACUCCAUCCAUCAGACCGAACCGUCCCGACAAGAAAUGAGUCUGGAUAGUUGAAGUGGGACAAGGCAGAGCUGUGAUAUCAGGAGCCCUUAGAUAAGCAGAGAGCGACAGGCUUCAAAGGAGUCGACGUCUCACAAACCAAACCAGCGUUUUAAGUGCACGGUUGAGCUUUUUGGACUUCAUCUAAAAUGAAAUAGUGUCCUGUGAUGCUUGAUCGAGGGUACAGAGCUUUUGGGCACGUCCAGACUUAUCGGCUGGAUAUCCAUAUAUUGAGAUUAUAACACUUUGGUGCACACCUUGGAGCUAGGCCGCCUCUUCCAGAUCAGCUUGUGGGCAAGAGCAAGUAAUUGAAAAUCCCCCCUUGAGAGGCACUCUCUUCUGAUUUUUUUUUUUUUUUUUUUUUUUUGUGGAGGAGACAUUUUUUUAAGAGGAACUAUUUUCAAGAAACCUCACUCUUCAUUGCAGUUUUUCCUUCUUUCUUGUCAUCAGCUUUCUCUCAAGUCUCUCAGAAAUACAUUACGAAGCAGCACCAUUCUUCAUCAUCCUCUCUUAGUGACAGUGAGAGAGAAGGGACAGAAUAGAUAACAAGUUAGGAGACUAGUAUUGAGGAGAGGAGAAGGUGUAAAAAAAGGAAAGCAGUAUAGAAAGAAGGAGACAGAAACCAAAGAUAGGAAGAAAAAUAUACAGGUUAUCUGGGAUUGUCUAAAAUCCUUUUGGAGACUUAGGGUCUUAUUUUAAUUUGUAUAUGUCGUAUUGGUGGCUAGGUAUUGUGAUAAGCUUGGGAGGGUUGUAGAUUUACACCAUGGGGAGACCUAAACAAGAGACCAUGAUUAUGUUCUGCCUGGAACUGUAACUGGUCAUUCAAGAUGAAUAACAAGCUUGAAGAUGGCCUGGUGAACAGACAGCUGUUCUGAACGACAGAAGCAGGUAAGUUAGAUAGACGGAGGAGAAGACGGGGAGUGAAGUGUACAUCCAAACUGUCAGGCACACAGCCGUAGCCUCCACAGUCGACAGUGGGGUUCAUUGUCAUUCCGUGCAGCAUGUGAGCGAAGGG